rnacentral:rRNA from 1 species
GGGUGUAAAGGGCGUGUAGGCGGAGAUGCAAGUUGGGAGUGAAAUCCCGGGGCUCAACCCCGGAACUGCUUUCAAAACUGUAUCCCUUGAGUGUCGGAGAGGCAAGCGGAAUUCCUAGUGUAGCGGUGAAAUGCGUAGAUAUUAGGAGGAACACCAGUGGCGAAGGCGGCUUGCCGGACGAUAACUGACGCUGAGGCGCGAAAGCGUGGGGAGCAAACAGGAUUAGAUACCCUGGUAGUCCACGCUGUAAACGAUGAAUACUAGGUGUGGGAGGACUGACCCCUUCCGUGCCGCAGUUAACACAAUAAGUAUUCCACCUGGGGAGUACGACCGCAAGGUUGAAACUCAAAGGAAUUGACGGGGGCCCGCACAAGCAGUGGAUUAUGUGGUUUAAUUCGACGCAACGCGAAGAACCUUACCAGGGUUUGACAUCCAACUAACGAAGUAGAGAUACAUUAGGUGCCCUUCGGGGAAAGUUGAGACAGGUGGUGCAUGGUUGUCGUCAGCUCGUGUCGUGAGAUGUUGGGUUAAGUCCCGCAACGAGCGCAACCCCUAUUGUUAGUUGCUACGCAAGAGCACUCUAGCGAGACUGCCGUUGACAAAACGGAGGAAGGCGGGGACGACGUCAAAUCAUCAUGCCCCUUAUAUCCUGGGCUACACACGUAAUACAAUGGUGGUUAACAGAGGGAGGCAAUGCCGCGAGGUUGAGCAAAUCCCUAAAAGCCAUCUCAGUUCGGAUUGCAGGCUGCAACUCGCCUGCAUGAAGCUGGAAUUGCUAGUAAUCG